rnacentral:lncRNA from 1 species
GGAUAAUAUUUUUUUUUUUUUAAUUGUUCAUGUCUUAAUUUGAUUUUUUACCUGUUUGCUGUUUUUAGAGUCUUCUCUCUAUUCUUUGAGUGUCUAUAUUUGUGUAAGGCAGUAUAAUGUAAAUUGUGAAACAAUGGUGUGCAUUUAUAAUUCUCCCUCAUUUCAGGAUGGAUCCAGCCAUUUUUGAAAGGGGAGUUCCAAACCCAGGAUAAAAAGUGGGUUCCAACCAUAUGUCCCCAUUGAAGAGCAUUUUGACCCCCUGGAUACAUAAUUUACAUUAGUUAUAUAUUUUAUUGGUUGUAAUUUUUGAAGAUCUUCAGGAUUAUUAUUUUAUUUUAAAUUCAUGUAAAAGUGCUAAUUAUAACCCAUUCUCUAUUAUUAAAGUCUUCUCUUUUCUUCUGAGUAACCUCAUUUAUUUGUCUAUAUACUGUAUAUAUUUUCAAAUUCUUGAUCAGACAUAUGCAUAAAAAUAUAUUUUACAUUAGUAUUGUAUUUGUUGUAGUUUUUGCAAGAACUUAUUGUACAGAAAAAGUGCAUUGGUAGGAAGCUGUAUUUAUAUAAUAUACUUCAUGCUUUGUCAUUAAUAUUAUUACUUUGUGUUAACUUGUUUUACAUAUGAUAAAUGUUAGUUGUAGUAGUGUGUCUUUUUUCCUCCGUCUAAAUGUAUUUGGUCACAUAUCAUUUUAAUUAUAUGGUUGAUUUGUUAUUAUAAGUUCAGAUACAAGUAAUUGCACUUUUGCUGUCCAUCGGAUUGUCUUUUCUGAAUUUUAUACUGAUAGGUACAAUAUCUCUCUGUGUCAACAGUUUAUUUUUCUGUCAGUUCUGAGUUGAGGUUUGAGUUAUAAUUAUCCUUUGGUAUGGUGCUUCUACGGUUAGUUUUCAAUUGACUUAGUUUGAAGAGUUAAUUGCUUUUUCCACUUUAGACAACAACAAAAUUUCUGGAGAAAUUUUACUUGCUUUAAGACUUAACAAUCUAUUCAGAAUCUUUUAUCCAACAUGCUUGUACUUUUAGUUACACAGUGUGCAAUUGUCCUGGGCGCAUUGCAUUUGCGCCAAUUUUUGAAAAUUACAAUCUUUCAUUUGCGCCACAAGGUUAUAUUUCAUUUGCGCCAAAAAAUAAAAACUUCAUUUAGGCCAUUUUACAAGCAAUAAUGGAAGCGUUAAAUAUUCAUUGCUCUAAAAGGUUUUUCUCUACAGUAUUUCUCUGGAUAAUGGGACGAGUUCAAUGCCACAUUAGGUGUCUAGAUGGAAAUUUUCAAUUUAGACAUAAAACAGGAGAAUUAAGUUAGUAAUAUUUGAUGACCACACUUUUAGUUUAUUAUCAGAUCCUACGUUCUGAAAAAUGGGGACCAAGUCGUUUAUUGGUACCCCAAAUAAAUAAAACCUUGCAAAGCCAGUAUAGAAACUGAAAUGGACUGCAGUUCAUGAAAAAACGGACUAUCUUUUUUUAUCAAUAUGUAUGCACUUGAGAGGAGGAAUGAUCCAGAGAUGAAUACAUCAGGAUCGUCGCUUACAAGUUUGGUGCCAGGGUAGACGUAUAACUUUACAAUAGUGUAUCAUGUUUAGAAUAACUCCAGUGUCAACUGUUUUCUUUCAUGUUUAAUAUUAGGUGUUAUGAUCACGUUUAUUUAUAACAGAACUGUGUUUCAUUAAAGUUUUAACAUUACUUGUGUGGUUUAAUGUCGACGGAUUUCUAAAUAAUAUAUUUUAUUUUGCAAACAAAAUCUUUUAUUAUCAAGUCUUUUUUAUAAUAUAUGUUUUAAACUAUUCACCUGUAUUUACCUUUAAUAUUGGCGCAAUUGAAAGGUUUUAUUUUGGCGCAAAUGAAAUAUUGUUUGUGGCGCAAAUGAAAGAUUUUUUUGGCGGAAAUGAAAUGCUAAUUGGCGCAAAAGCAAAGCACCGAUUGUCCUAAUACGAGAAUUUAUUGACCCAAUAAAUUCAGUAUUUAAGACAAUUGAACACUGUGUAACAAAUUUAUCCUGAUUUUGUUAUAUUGCAUAUUAUUAUAUUCAAAUUCAAUAUUAGGACAAUAUCAACCAAAUUAUUUUAGAUAUUUAAUCUAAAACUGUGAAAAAUUAAAAAUAUUAGGAAUACUAAGCAACUCAAAUUGAUUUUUUUUUAUCAGGUCAAUGAUAUAAUGAAGAUAAUUCCGAUUGAUGUAAUAAAUAAGGGAGAUAAUUUCAAUUGAUGUGAUAAAAAAUUGUACUGAAAUUUAUUAGGACAUUAUCAGCCAAUCAAAUUACUCUAAAUCAAGAUAAAAUGUUUUAAUUUGAUUAGUCAAAUGAGAAAAUAAACCAGUUUGCUUUAAUCAUGACAACCAAGGGGAAAUAACUCUGACUUUGUUUAUUUGAUAGUAAAGUCUAUAUCAGGAGACAAUAGUUAACUUGUGUAAAUUCAGAAAAUUGUUGUGUGUAUUGAUUAAAAAGGGACAGAAAAUGCUGCAUAUAACAAUGCUUUUAAAUUUAAAAUGUGAUUUUGCAACUAAUAUCAAUUCAAGAAUUUAUUGGGUGCAUUUAUUAUUGUGAUUUUUCACAAAUGGACCAAAUUGCGAGUUUAAUUAAUGUGAUUUUAAAAAAUCUACAUAAUUUUUAUAGAUUUAUGUUUGAGUUAUCAAAAUGCCAGUUUUUAUUAUUGCAAUACUCGCCCAGUCACAUUAUUAGCAUGAAUAAAAACUUGGCAAUAAUUUCUGAAUUUACCAUUGCAAUUAUAAGGAAUAAUAUUACUUAGUAUGAAUUUACAGUAUAAAAUGCUAAACACUGUCCAAAUAUUUAUGUUUCAUUGCUUUUAUUGAAAACUAUGGUUGUAUAAUUUUAGUUUAUACUUUUAUGUAGUUUAUUUUUGUAAGCAUGAUAUAUAUAGAUUUAAAAAUGAAACUAUGCAAAA